rnacentral:rRNA from 1 species
UACGUAGGGUGCAAGCGUUGUCCGGAAUUAUUGGGCGUAAAGAGCUCGUAGGCGGUUUGUUGCGUCGGCUGUGAAAUCCCGAGGCUCAACCUCGGGUCUGCAGUCGAUACGAGCAAACUAGAGUGUUGCAGGGGAGACUGGAAUUCCUGGUGUAGCGGUGAAAUGCGCAGAUAUCAGGAGGAACACCGGUGGCGAAGGCGGGUCUCUGGGCAACAACUGACACUGAAACGCGAAAGCCAGGGGAGCAAACGGG